CAAAUCUGUGGUAUGAAUGAUUCUCCUGUGCUAAUGGCAAAACUGUCAGAAGCAGAAGAAUCUGUUGUGUUUACUCAACCCAGCAAUGGCAGCAAAUCGCUAUUAUUCUGGAUGGUUUUACAAUUCUUUAAUGCCAUUAUCUGUUUUGCUACCAGAAUACCAAGUGCUUUUCAUCUUGGUUCCAAGGAUUUCUUUGACCUUCUUUGACAUUUCUGUGUUUUUGCAACUGUGGCAGCGGAAUACCCAGAUGCAGUCUCUUUCUUUUACUUUAAAAUACAACAGCUUUUUCCUCUCACUUUGUAGGCAUUCUGAGACAGCUUUUAAAAUAAAAGCACCCCUACAGUCUUCUAUAUAUAAAAUUCCG
rnacentral:lncRNA from 1 species